GAUGAAGAACGUAGCGAAAUGCGAUAAGUAAUGUGAAUUGCAGAAUUCAGUGAAUCAUCGAAUCUUUGAACGCACAUUGCGCCCGCUAGUAUUCUGGCGGGCAUGCCUGUUCGAGCGUCAUUUCAACCAUCAAGCCCCCGGCUUGUGUUGGGGGCCUGCGGCUGCCGCAGGCCCUGAAAAGCAGUGGCGGGCUCGCUGUCACACCGAGCGUAGUAGCAUACAUCUCGCUCUGGGCGUGCUGCGGGUUCCGGCCGUUAAACCACCUUCAUAACCCAAGGUUGACCUCGGAUCAGGUAGGAAGACCCGCUGAACUUAAGCAUAUCAAUAAGCGGAGGA
rnacentral:misc_RNA from 1 species